GAAAUGCGAUACUUGGUGUGAAUUGCAGAAUCCCGUGAACCAUCGAGUCUUUGAACGCAAGUUGCGCCCCAAGCCUUCUGGCCGAGGGCACGUCUGCUUGGGUGUCAUAAAUCGUCGUCCCCCCAAUCCUUUACGGAUAAUGGGACGGAAGCUGGUCUCCCGUGUGUUACCGCACGCGGUUGGCCAAAAUCCGAGCCAAGGACGCCUUGAGCGUUCCGACAUGCGGUGGUGAGUAUAACAAGCUGCUUCAAGUGUCGGUCGUUGUUGUCCAAAAGCUCUUGAUGACCCAAAGUCUCCAAAGCGACCCCAAGUCAGGCGGGAUUACCCGCUGAGUUUAA
rnacentral:misc_RNA from 1 species